rnacentral:rRNA from 1 species
UACGGAAGGGGCAAGCGUUGUUCGGAAUCAUUGGGCGUAAAGGGCGUGUAGGUGGUUCUGUAUGUCUACCGUGAAAGCGUACGGCUCAACCGUAUUUAGUCGGUAGAAACUGCAGGACUUGAGGCUGGGAGGGGCUGGUGGAAUUCCCCGUGUAGCGGUGAAAUGCGUAGAGAUGGGGGAGAACACUCGUGGCGAAGGCGGCCAGCUAGACCAGUUCUGACACUGAGGCACGAAAGCGUGGGGAGCAAACAGG